UUUAAGUGCAACCAUGAGUUUUCAUGUCCAACUUUAAUCGUCCGUCUUAUUUAAGAUUUUUUUAAGAAGAAGUAGUAUUUUUAUUGCUAUGAGAUGAUAAAACAUGCAUAGUACUUUAUGCAUAACUUAUGUUUCUAUUUUUUAAAAAAAUUUAAAUAAGACGGAUGAUUAAAAUUGGGCACGAAAAAUCAUGGCUGCACUUAAA
rfam:Oryza sativa Japonica Group DNA, chromosome 12, cultivar: Nipponbare, complete sequence.